UUUUCUUUUUUUUUUUUUUUUCUUUGCUCUUUAUUUGUUUUUUUUUCAAGCAGAAGACGGCAUACGAUAUUGCACGUGACAAGUA
rnacentral:ribozyme from 1 species